UUACAAUGGAGAGUUUGAUCCUGGCUCAGGAUGAACGCUAGCGGCAGGCCUAAUACAUGCAAGUCGAGGGGCAGCACAGGUAGCAAUACUGGGUGGCGACCGGCAAACGGGUGCGGAACACGUACGCAACCUUCCUUCAAGCGGGGAAUAGCCCAGAGAAAUUUGGAUUAAUACCCCAUAGGAAU
rnacentral:rRNA from 1 species